rnacentral:tRNA from 1 species
GCCUCCGUGGCGGAACCUGGUAUACGCGCAUGGCUUAGGACCAUGUCCCUUUAAGGGUUAGAGGUUCAAAUCCUCUCGGAGGCACCA